GCCGCGGUGGUGUAGUGGUUAGUACACCUGCCUAGUAAGCAGGAGCCCUGACUUCGAGUCCCAGCUGUGGCA